UACUAGUCAUUCAUUAUAUCUCUUAUACAAAAACCAACUCCCACCGUUUCAGAAACCUUCAAAACCAACUCCCACCUUUUCAAGAACGUCAUGCCGCCAAACAAUAACUUCCGGUGACGCCAUAUGCGAACCAACCGUCGCAUCUCUUCUCUGAGAACGGCCCGACACAUAUAUAAAUGGAAGAAACCCCACAAGAACAAGAACCCUAGAGAUAGUGUUGAAGAUUCGAAUCUGCACAGAAUUGGAGAAACAAUUAUUGCGUGAAGAUUCAAAAUUUAUUCCAUCGUUAUGAUUCUUUGAUCAAGUUAUUAGGGAGCUUGGUGAUUUUUGCUACGUACAAACCUUUUGGGUAACCUCAUUUUUUGAUGAACAAUAUGAGGUAUGAAGGAAUAGGCCCAAUGAUGUUUGUCAAAGUGAACUAAUGGGGGAAUAGGCCCAAUGAUGUUUGUCAAAGUGAACUAAUGGGCAGUGACUAUAAAUAAGGACUACCAUAUUAUUAGGCUUAUUAGCACAGGAAUAGGCCCAGUUAUGUUGGUGUAUGUUUGGGACGCUGGACUUCUUAUGGGAAAUGGUUGUAAAUAAGUGUUGUAGUGUCAUUACCAUCUA